rnacentral:pre_miRNA from 1 species
UUAGUACUCCCUCUGUCCAACAAAAAAUGUCUCAAGUUUGUCAAAAUUUGGAUGUAUCUAGACAUGACUUAGUGUAUAGAUGCAUUUAAAUUUAGUCAAAAUUGAGACAUUCUUUGUUGGACGGAGAGAGUACUAC